rnacentral:rRNA from 1 species
UACGUAGGGGGCUAGCGUUGUCCGGAAUCAUUGGGCGUAAAGCGCGUGUAGGCGGUCCGGUAAGUCCGCUGUGAAAGUCGGGGGCUCAACCUCGGAUGCCGGUGGAUACUGUCGGGCUUGAGUACGGAAGAGGCGAGUGGAAUUCCUGGUGUAGCGGUGAAAUGCGCAGAUAUCAAGGAGGACACCAAUUGCGAAGGCAGACUCG